UACGAAGGGGGCUAGCGUUGUUCGGAAUUACUGGGCGUAAAGGGCGCGUAGGCGGUGUGUCAAGUCAGGCGUGAAAUCCCCGAGCUUAACCUGGGAACUGCGCUUGUAACUGGCAAGCUAGAGUGUGGCAGAGGGGGGUGGAAUUCCACGUGUAGCAGUGAAAUGCGUAGAGAUGUGGAGGAACACCGAUGGCGAAGGCAGCCCCCUGGGCUAACACUGACGCUCAUGCACGAAAGCGUGGGGAGCAAACAGG
rnacentral:rRNA from 1 species